rnacentral:rRNA from 1 species
GACGAACGCUGGCGGCGUGCUUAACACAUGCAAGUCGAACGGAAAGGCCCUGCUUUUGUGGGGUGCUCGAGUGGCGAACGGGUGAGUAACACGUGAGUAACCUGCCCUUGACUUUGGGAUAACUUCAGGAAACUGGGGCUAAUACCGGAUAGGAGCUCCUGCUGCAUGGUGGGGGUUGGAAAGUUUCGGCGGUUGGGGAUGGACUCGCGGCUUAUCAGCUUGUUGGUGGGGUAGUGUCUUACCAAGGCUUUGACGGGUAGCCGGCCUGAGAGGGUGACCGGCCACAUUGGGACUGAGAUAAGGCCAAGACUCCUACGGGAGGCAGCAGUGGGGAAUAUUGCACAAUGGGCGGAAGACUGAUGCAGCAACGCCGCGUGCGGGAUGACGGCCUUCGGGUUGUAAACCGCUUUCGCCUGUGACGAAGCGUGAGUGACGGUAAUGGGUAAAGAAGCACCGGCUAUCUACGUG